UGGCCAAUGAUUUGUAUGCGUCAAUUUUUCUUUGGAUCCGAGCUUCCGUUCAGGUAGCCUUCAAGAAUUGUGUUGCAGGCAUUCAUGGCUCGCGCAUCCAGUAGACUGUGGUUCCAGAGUUUGACCAUAAAAAACCUCCAACACCUUAGAGCUGGAUUUUGUACAAGUUCUUGUCCAUGAAACUGCGAGAAUGCUUCGCAUGCCCAGGGAAUAUGGCCAUCCGCUAGCCUGACCUUUGUUUCCGAACAAAUGAAUUCCACAUAUGCAUAAUAAGUUUCUCGUCUUUUGUAACAUCAACAAAAUCAUCAAGCAUCUGCAUUUACUCAGGGAAGUUAAGGUAUCAAGAAUUUGGACACAUUUAUAGAGAUGAAAGGUAUCGAUUCACUCACUUGAGCCCUGUGAGAAUGAAAGAACUGGCGUUUUUAAAGGAUUACUUUCUGGGAUCAGCUCGUUCAACAGACAGCUUUCUUGUCUUCCCAAACUGUAACACUGUUGGUGCUGAAAGAUUGCUACCAUGUCCACUUAUAGACAGGGAAAAACCGGGGCCUUUACUAUUUCACCAUUCAUAUGUAAUGUGUGGCAGUAUGAAACCAUAAAGUGAGAAAGUACCAUUUUCCCUCUGCACGUAAUCGUCUUCAGAUCCUGCCUGGGCAUCUUCAGGUGAUCCUGAAUCCACAAUAUGUGGAUGUACAUGCCUAAUUUUAUCACUUGAGAUUUCCACCCUUUUACGCUUCUUAAAUCUUGAGCUGAUGGAAAACAACAAUUAAAAUGGAAUGUUUUGAUGUUUCAUACCACUAAUUUACCUCUGUUCUCCAAGAAUCAGUCUUCAGACUAACAUUAACAGCCUGGCACUCUUCAGAUAUCUGUGCAAACAUAAAAAGAAAGGUUAAAUGACCUAUGCGAAGGAGCAAUAAGAUCUUGCAAUGGAGAUUCCAGAAGUUUACCAACCCAAAACUCAUAAUGGAAAAGGUCAUGCGAUGCGUUUAGUCCCAAACACAAUAAACUGCAGGAUUGAACUAUCAACUCAUGAUUGCUACCUUAUAAUAUGUGUCAAUGACGAAGGUGGCACAUCAUUAUAUGAAUAAACACUAUAAGGAGACUCGGACAUGUCUUUUGCACCAGCCUCUUGAGCAGAUAUGCUAACUUGCAGUUGAAAUGAACCCUGCAAUAGUAAAACUCAACAAUAUCAGAAAAGCGGUGGUGAAAAGUCGGCCAUACCUCUAAGAAGCUUGGGGUCAUCUCAACCGUGGAAGACAUUUCCACGGUAUGUCCCAAACUUAAGCUCACACAAUUUCCCAAAGAUGAAGCAAGAAGAUCGAUUGGUAUUUUACCCCAGAAACACUUCCCUUCAAGCUCUGUCAAAAUGCAUCACAUGGUUCAUACAAAUGGUUGCAAAGAGUGCACCCUGUACCACAGCUGAUAAGGAUAAUAUUAAGGCUGCAAGCUCGGGAGGUUGCUAAGUUCUUCACAUCAGGAAUGACGAAUGUUGCUUCAGUGUAGUCUUUAUUUCCAAAUUCAUGAAAAGAAGUCAACAAACAAGCACGACUGAAUCGAUAUAUCGGAGAAUGCUGCACAUCAUGAUCAUUUGUAGGUCUAGCUAACAGAACAUAAAGAGGAAAGAUAUUUUGUGCCCGCAGUUCUUUAUUUGUGCCUCCAGAAAGUGAUAUGUCAAAGCAUACCUCUUCUUCCGUCUUGCGUGAAUCUUGUAAAGAAGGCAUCUUUGAAGAAAAGCAGGCUUUUUAAUGGAUCGGCGCUGAAUGAUAUUAUACAACUCGACCGGCUUGCAGUAUAAUGCGAAGCUUUCUUCAGCUGCAAGCUGCUCAUCGGGAGAGAGCCGAGCCCUUGGCUGGUGGCGGCACAUCUGGUAUCUGCGGACCGGGGG
rnacentral:sRNA from 1 species